rnacentral:rRNA from 1 species
GCAACUCGACUCCAUGAAGCUGGAUUCGCUAGUAAUCGCGCAUCAGCCAUGGCGCGGUGAAUACGUUCUCGGGCCUUGUACACACCGCCCGUCACACCAUGGGAGUCGGUAACACCCGAAGUCUGUAGCCUGACGCAAGAGGGCGCAGCCGAAGGUGGGAUUGAUGACUGGGGUGAAGUCGUAACAAGGUAAC